AGAAUCAACGCUGGCGGCGUGCCUAACACAUGCAAGUCGAACGAGAAAGUGGAGCAAUCCAUGAGUAAAGUGGCGCACGGGUGAGUAACACGUGACUAACCUACCCUUGAGUGGGGAAUAACUUCGGGAAACCGAGGCUAAUACCGCAUAACACCUACGGGUCAAAGGAGCAAUUCGCUUAAGGAGGGGUCGCGGCAGAUUAGUUAGUUGGCAGGGUAAUGGCCUACCAAGACGGUGAUCUGUAUCCGGCCUGAGAGGGCGCACGGACACACUGGAACUGAAACACGGUCCAGACUCCUACGGGAGGCAGCAGUGGGGAAUUUUGCGCAAUGGGGGAAACCCUGACGCAGCAACGCCGCGUGGAGGAUGAAGCCCUUGGGACGUAAACUCCUUUCGAUCGGGACGAUUAUGACGGUACCGGAAGAAGAAGCCCGGCUAACUUCGCGCCAGCAGCCGC
rnacentral:rRNA from 1 species